GGGCGAUUGGCUCAGUCCGGUUAGAGCGCUGCCUUCACACGGCAGAGGUCACUGGUUCGAAUCCAGUAUCGCCCACGA
rnacentral:tRNA from 1 species